rnacentral:rRNA from 1 species
UACGUAGGGGGCAAGCGUUGUCCGGAUUUAUUGGGCGUAAAGAGCGUGUAGGCGGCUUUGCAAGUCCGUUGUGAAAACUCGAGGCUCAACCUCGAGACGCCGGUGGAAACUGCAAAGCUAGAGUCCGGAAGAGGAGAGUGGAAUUCCUGGUGUAGCGGUGAAAUGCGCAGAUAUCUGGAGGAACACCGGUGGCGAAGGCGACAUCCUGGACCGGUAUUGACGCUGAGGCGCGAAAGCCAGGGGAGCAAACGGG